rnacentral:rRNA from 1 species
GAGAGGACGACCAGCCACACUGGGACUGAGACACGCCCCAGACUCCUACGGGAGGCAGCAGUGGGGAAUUUUGGACAAUGGGCGCAAGCCUGAUCCAGCUAUUCCGCGUGUGGGAUGACGGCCCUCGGGUUGUAAACCACUUUAGUAGAGAACGAAAAGGAGCUAUCGAAUAAAUAGCUCUGCUGACGGUACUCUAAGAAUAAGCACCGGCUAACUACGUGCCAGCAGCCGCGGUAAUACGUAGGGUGCGAGCGUUAAUCGGAAUUACUGGGCGUAAAGGGUGUGCAGGCGGCUGAGUAAGACAGAUGUGAAAUCCCCGGGCUUAACCUGGGAACCGCAUAUGUGACUGCUUGGCUAGAGUGCGUCAGAGGGAGGUGGAAUUCCACGUGUAGCAGUGAAAUGCGUAGAUAUGUGGAAGAACACCGAUGGCGAAGGCAGCCUCCUGGGACGCAACUGACGCUCAUACACGAAAGCGUGGGGAGCAAACAGGAUUAGAUACCCUGGUAGUCCACGCCCUAAACGAUGUCAACUAGUUGUUGGGGAUUAAAAUUCUCA